rnacentral:lncRNA from 1 species
GAGCAUCGCUAUCCUGCCAGGGUUCGGUGGAGCAUUGCGUGAAGCGUCUGCGUGUCUGCGAGAUCUUGCUGUGGGCCAGGUAUCCAUUCUCCUGCGGCAGCUUAGACCCUACGGAGACUAGAGGUCCGUGGGUGGUGGAGGAUCCUUUGCGUAGCAAAAAAAGAAGGCGAGUGCCCCUGCAUCCUCUCCAGACGGUACCCAGGGUCUCGCUUUUCAGAUCUAGCUGUUGUGGACCUCACUGAGAUCCCCAUCUGCCUACAAAGUGCUGGGAUUAAAGAACAUCCACCAUUAUUAGAACCAUCACCCUGCAGCUAGCUUGGACAUCCUUAAAAGGGCUCAUCAGAAGUAUCUGAUAUUCAUGAAGACAGAGUUUCAGGGUUUCUGCCUGGAGCUACACCCUCCAGGAGCCCCUGCUUGGCUUCCCCUGCACCCAGCCCCAUCCCAACCUGUUACAACUUGGGCUGUGCAUGGUGUUUCUUGGAAACUGGAACACAGACUCCUCCGACUGCUCUCCAGGCCCUUUGUCCUCAAUGAGCAGAAGACCACAGAAGCUGGCUACUGAAGAGGCUGUCCAGAUAGCAGAGCACCUCACUGGCCUUGCUUAGCACCUUUGCUACAGAGCAAGCUCUGAGUGCUCACCACCUGCAGGGACUACAGCGAGAUUUGUCAGGCCCCCACUUCACUAAGGGCCACUCUCUAGUGAGCCCUCUGGAGAAGGCUCCACUAAAAAAAACGUGGUCAUCAUAGCGUUUGCACUGCCUCGAGUCCUAUCUGAGCACCUGUAGGGCUGCAGACAUCAGUAGCCCGUUACCUAGCUCUAAUCCAUAUCCUAAGUAGAAAACUGUGUACUAUUUUUUUUCUCUCCUUCUGGUGAGAAGAGUUUUAAUUAUUGAUUCAGUCCCAUCAGUAGUUGUAGUACUAUUAAGAAUUUAUUUUUCCUCUUGAGUACAUUUUGGAUAUAGUUUCUUAGGUAUUGGACCAUUUUGUCUGUGUUUUCAAAUUCACUGACAUCAAGUUCCUGUUUUGAAAGUCUCUGCUCUAUCUAUUCUGUAGCUAUGUCUCCUUUUUCACUGCUAAUACUGGUUAUUUGUGCCUUCUCCCUUUUCUUCUUGAUCAAUCUCAGCAGAGGUUUGUCUAUUUUAUUAGUCUUUACAAAGAACCAACUUCUGGCUCUGCUGCUCCUCUCGAUUGUGUCUUUGUUCUCUAUUUCUUUAAUUUCAGCUCUGAUCUUUUUUGACCUCCUUCCUUCCACAUUCUUUGGAUUCAUUCUGUUGCUCUUCUUCUGAUUUCUUCAAUUGUAUGUGGAGCUCAUUCAUUUUCAGUCUUGCCUUUUUGUUUUCCUUGUUUUGUUUUCCUGUUUGUUUCCUAUAGCUCAGACUCACCUCAAGCUCACAAUGAUCUUUUCCCUUACCCUCCCAAGUACAGUGAUUACAGAUGUGAGGCGCUGAACCUAGCUUUCAGCCUCUCGUUUUCUAAUUUAUAUAUUUGAAAGCUAUAAAUUUCCCACUAAUACUACUCUCAAACAUGACCAUAUACGGUAAUAAUUUCAUUGUUCAGUUCCAAGUGCUUCAGUAUAUCUAUUAUUAUUGCUUCUUUGACUCAUGAAUUAUACAGAGGUAUGUUUUUAAGUUCCCAAAUGUUUGGGGGAUUUUAAGUUUGUUCUUUUAUUGAAUUCUAUCCUAUUAUGUUCAGAUGAUGUGGUCUAUGUAGUAACUCUGAAGUUUAUUGAGACUUGUUCUAUUGCUUGGUACACAAUUGAUAAUUAUUAAUGUUUCCUAUGUGCUCUAUAAGAAUGUAUGUCCUCUGAUUAUUGAAUAUAGAAAUCUAUGUGUGUCUAUUAGCAACU